rnacentral:rRNA from 1 species
UACGUAGGGGGCAAGCGUUGUCCGGAAUUAUUGGGCGUAAAGCGCGCGCAGGCGGUCAUUUAAGUCUGGUGUAUAAUCCUAGGGCUCAACCUUAGGUCGCACUGGAAACUGGAUGACUUGAGUGCAGAAGAGGAGAGUGGAAUUCCACGUGUAGCGGUGAAAUGCGUAGAGAUGUGGAGGAACACCAGUGGCGAAGGCGACUCUCUGGGCUGUAACUGACGCUGAGGCGCGAAAGCGUGGGGAGCAAACA